GUGGGGAAUAUUGGACAAUGGGCGAAAGCCUGAUCCAGCCAUGCCGCGUGUGUGAAGAAGGUCUUCGGAUUGUAAAGCACUUUAAGUUGGGAGGAAGGGCAGUAAGUUAAUACCUUGCUGUUUUGACGUUACCAACAGAAUAAGCACCGGCUAACUUCGUGCCAGCAGCCGCGGUAAUACGAAGGGUGCAAGCGUUAAUCGGAAUUACUGGGCGUAAAGCGCGCGUAGGUGGUUCAGUAAGUUGGAAGUGAAAUCCCCGGGCUCAACCUGGGAACUGCUUUCAAAACUGCUGAGCUAGAGUACGGUAGAGGGUGGUGGAAUUUCCUGUGUAGCGGUGAAAUGCGUAGAUAUAGGAAGGAACACCAGUGGCGAAGGCGACCACCUGGACUGAUACUGACACUGAGGUGCGAAAGCGUGGGGAGCAAACAGGAUUAGAAACCCCGGUAGUCC
rnacentral:rRNA from 1 species